AUUGAACGCUGGCGGCAGGCCUAACACAUGCAAGUCGAGCGGAUGAAGGGAGCUUGCUCCUGGAUUCAGCGGCUGACGGGUGAGUAAUGCCUAGGAAUCUGCCUGGUAGUGGGGGAUAACGUCCGGAAACGGGCGCUAAUACCGCAUACGUCCUGAGGGAGAAAGUGGGGGAUCUUCGGACCUCACGCUAUCAGAUGAGCCUAGGUCGGAUUAGCUAGUUGGUGGGGUAAAGGCCUACCAAGGCGACGAUCCGUAACUGGUCUGAGAGGAUGAUCAGUCACACUGGAAGUGAGACACGGUCCAGACUCCUACGGGAGGCAGCAGUGGGGAAUAUUGGACAAUGGGCGAAAGCCUGAUCCAGCCAUGCCGCGUGUGUGAAGAAGGUCUUCGGAUUGUAAAGCACUUUAAGUUGGGAGGAAGGGCAGUAAGUUAAUACCUUGCUGUUUUGACGUUACCAACAGAAUAAGCACCGGCUAACUUCGUG
rnacentral:rRNA from 1 species